CAUAAAAGUAUAUCACUUGGCAAUAUCAAAAUUAUACUUUUACCCACAUAUUUGAUCUCAUGACAACAGACAAAAAUCAUCGUUACAACCGAGACAUGAACCUAACACUUCAUAUUCUAGAAAUCCAAUAUUGGGUGAUGUUAAUUUAUAAAGAUUUGGAGCCAUGAACGAAAGUAAAGUUCUCUGGUCCCUCGAACAAAUUGGAUUCUUUGUUUCAUUUGUAGCCCAUGUGAAAUACAAACAAGACUGUAGCCAUAUUCUCCCUGUAGUAUUGAUACACAGAUAUUAUUUGGACUAAUCUGGUGGGGUAUUAAAUUAAAGGAUACAAUGAAAGUGCAUCACUCUUUUACCUCAACUUGGAACAUCAAAAGCAAAGAAUCAGUCCCUUCAUACAUUUUCAAUGUGAGGCUUCUGUAUUUCUUGGACUUAUCCCUUCAACUUACUACAUCGAACCUAAUAACUAUGUACAACAAUAAACCUAGUUUUAUUCUCAAUAAACAAAGAGUCUCCAUCUACACAAAACCAUUUUCCCACUCUGUGAAGUACCAAAAAAACGUAGGAAUACGUUUUUGUCAUAAGGGUCACUGGUCUGGUCUUUUGUUUAGAAGACAAAAGCAGAGCAAAUGAUAGAGAUGUGAGGAAGCAAUGAAAAGAUGCUUAGCUUCUUGAGGGUCUUGUUCCAAUUACCUUUAUUCAUCUUACUCAGAUUCUUUUAUAACACUUUGCUUAGAUUUGCAUAUUUAUGAUAGAGGUGAAUCUAAAACUCUAUUAAGAUAUUGUCUUAUGAUAUAUAUCAAGGAAUGGAACAUAGGAACUCAAGGACACCACCAUAUCUUUUAGUAUUCUUAACAUAAGAGACAUUUUCAUUCCUCUUCUUCCCUCAAGAAAGUCAUGGUUCUUUAUGUUUAUAGGGCAUUUUUAUUAUUCAUCUGUCUAGGAUUAUUAGUGUUUCAUCCAAUUGAAGUUUGUGGCUUGACAAGUAUAGAUCUUGCUCUUAGACGAAGUAAAGAUCAUCAGCUGAUGGUAAAGAAUCAGAGCAUCAGUAUACGUAUACUCGAAGCAGUUGUCAUGAAGGGCAGGAAUACAGAUAAGAAACCAGCACCUCUAAAUCAGACAUUUGAUCCAUACCGAAUGAGAAAAAGAAGAGUUCCAAGAGGAUCAGAUCCGAUCCAUAACAAGGCUUGAUAUAAACAAGGCAUCUCUUUGCCAUAAGACGAGCAAGGCAGUUGAAAACAAUUGGAGAGUACAAAGGACAAGAUUUCUCAACUGUCCAUCAAAACCAGAGGAAGAACAGACCAGAAUAUAGUUUGUUUUCAACUUUUCAAGAUAUGAUCAGUGUGGCUUCAUUAUUUCUUGGGUUUCUCCCAGAUAAGACUUAAGAGGGUGCUUUGUUUUCCUUAUUCCCAUUCUAAUGCCAGUCUUUUUAUCGCUGAACAUUUGAAAAAUGUUUGCUAUACAGUACUAAACGAGAUUGGAUAGGUGUAAUGGACAACAUUCUUUUUCUUUUUUUCUUUUUUAGCUUUCUAUUGUUCCUAGAUAUUGUUUGGUACUGUGUAAUCUGCCUUAUUGGGGUUUUUUAUUCCUUAAUUAUUAUUAUUAAAACAUUUCUCCCCAAAA